rnacentral:rRNA from 1 species
GACGAACGCUGGCGGCGUGCUUAACACAUGCAAGUCGAACGGAAAGGCCCUGCUUGCAGGGUACUCGAGUGGCGAACGGGUGAGUAACACGUGGGUGAUCUGCCCUGCACUUCGGGAUAAGCCUGGGAAACUGGGUCUAAUACCGGAUAGGAGCCAUUUUUAGUGUGAUGGUUGGAAAGUUUUUUCGGUGUAGGAUGAGCUCGCGGCCUAUCAGCUUGUUGGUGGGGUAAUGGCCUACCAAGGCGGCGACGGGUAGCCGGCCUGAGAGGGUGGACGGCCACAUUGGGACUGAGAUACGGCCCAGACGCCGACGGGAGGCAGCAGUGGGGAAUAUUGCACAAUGGGCGCAAGCCUGAUGCAGCGACGCCGCGUGGGGGAUGACGGCCUUCGGGUUGUAAACUCCGUUCGCUAGGGACGAAGCUUUUUGUGACGGUACCUAGAUAAGAAGCACCGGCUAACUACGUG